CAAUUCAAUAUAGUUUGAUAAUGAUUAUUUUACUAUUUAUUUUUGUUUUUUGAGUUUAGUUUAUUAAAAUUAUUUUAUUGUUAUUGUAUUUUUUUAUGAUUUAAUUGCUUUUGUUAUAGUUUAUUUGUACUGUGAGGGGUUAAAAUUUGUGUAUUUAUUUUAUUGGAAGUUAUUUUUAUUUAUUGUACCUUGUGUAUCAGGAUUUAUCUAAAUUGUGAUCUUUAUGUUGAUUAAUCUCGAUUUUGAGAGAGUUAAAAGUUUAUGUUGUUUAUUGUUUAAUAAUUAUUAUAAAUAAUUUUUUAGUGGUGAAAUGUCAUUCGUUCUUAAUUGUAUCUAGUUUAUUCAGAAAUGAAUUCAAUUCAUGUUAUUAUUUAUUGUGGAUUUUAAUUUUUAAUUUACAUUAAUUAUUACUAAUAUUUUGGGGGAUGAGCUCUGGAAUUUAUAAUUAUAAGUAUUGUAAUGUUUUAUUUGAUUAAGUGGAUUUGAAAGUGAUUAUUUUUUAGAUUAUGUUGAAAUUUUAUUGAGUUAUUAAUUGAUUUUUAUUAUUUUAAUUUUUUUAUGGAUUAGUUUAUAUAAAAUUUUAUUUUUGUAGUAAUUAUGAUGAAAUUAGUAUAUAUUAAUUUAUAAUAGAGUUAUUUUCUAUUUGUAUAUUAUGUUAAGGAAUUAGGCAAUUAUUUUUCCGCCUGUUUAUCAAAAACAUCUCUUCUUGUUUAUUUAGGAAGUAUAACCUGCCCACUGAAUUAUUUUGAAUGGCCGCGGUAAUUUGACCGUGCAAAGGUAGCAUAAUCAUUAGUCUUUUAAUUGAAGGCUUGUAUGAAUGGUUGGACGAGAUGAAUACUGUCUUAUUAUUAUUUGUUGAAUUUAAUUUUUGAGUUAAAAAGCUUAAAUGAUUUUUUGGGACGAGAAGACCCUAUAGAGUUUUAUAUUUAUUACUUUGUUUUUGUUGGUUAUAUUUGUUUUUCAAUGGUUAUUUAUUUUGUUGGGGUGAUGGGAAGAUUACAAUAACUCUUUUUUUUCUUGUUUAUUAAUUUAUAUACUGUUGAUCCAUGAUUUUUUGAUUAUAAGUUUAAAUUACCUUAGGGAUAACAGCGUAAUCUUUUUUGAGAGUUCUUAUCGGCAAAAGGGAUUGCGACCUCGAUGUUGGAUUAAGAUAAAUAUUGGAUGUAGAAGUUCAUUUAUUAGGUCUGUUCGACCUUUAAAAUCUUACAUGAUCUGAGUUCAAACCGGCGUGAGCCAGGUUGGUUUCUAUCUAAAAGUUGAUUAAGUAUUUUAGUACGAAAGGACCAAAUAUUUAGAAUAAUUCUUUUUUGUUGAUUAUUAUUAAUUUAGCUAUUUUGGCAGAUUAGUGCGUUGGAUUUAGAAUCUUAUUAU
rnacentral:rRNA from 1 species